CGAACGCUGGCGGCAGGCCUAAUACAUGCAAGUCGAACGGCUCUUCGGAGCAGUGGCGGACGGGUGAGUAACGCGUGGGAAUGUGCCCUUUGGUACGGAACAACACAGGGAAACUUGUGCUAAUACCGUAUGUGCCCUUCGGGGGAAAGAUUUAUCGCCAUUGGAGCAGCCCGCGUUGGAUUAGGUAGUUGGGGAGGUAAAGGCUCACCAAGCCUACGAUCCAUAGCUGGUCUGCGAGGAUGACCAGCCACACUGGGACUGAGACACGGCCCAGACUCCUACGGGAGGCAGCAGUAGGGAAUCUUGCGCAAUGGGCGAAAGCCUGACGCAGCCAUGCCGCGUGUAUGAUGAAGGUCUUAGGAUUGUAAAAUACUUUCACCGGGGAAGAUAAUGACGGUACCCGGAGAAGAAGCCCCGGCUAACUUCGUGCCAGCCGCCGCCGUAAUAC
rnacentral:rRNA from 1 species